UGGGGAAUUUUGCACAAUGGGGGAAACCCUGAUGCAGCAACGCCGCGUGGAGGAUGAAGUCCCUUGGGAUGUAAACUCCUUUCGACCGGGACGAUAAUGACGGUACCGGUGGAAGAAGCCCCGGCUAACUCUGUGCCAGCAGCCGCGGUAAU
rnacentral:rRNA from 1 species